rnacentral:misc_RNA from 1 species
AAAGUCGUAACAAGGUUUCCGUAGGUGAACCUGCGGAAGGAUCAUUAACAAAUGUUGAAUAUGUUAUUCAUCUUCCAAUCUGAGUACUAGUACUUGUUGCUUCCGUGGGCAGCAUGCGAUUAUUCCCAUGCGCCUUACCUUUGUGGGGGACCCACGGGAGGUUUCAUAUACUCUGUUUUGUUCGUGUCAUCAGUCUGAUAGCAGUUUAUUGAAUAAACGUUAAAACUUUCAACAACGGAUCUCUUGGUUCUC